GAGAAAAGCCAAUGAAGCCCAUUCAGAGGGGAGAAAUACAAAUUACCGGACCCGGCCCUAUAUUUUUAGUAGCCAUUGCCACCAAAGGGAGCAACUAAGCCCUAGGAUGGGACUGGCCAUUUUGUCCACAGGACUUGUCUGAGCCCUGGCUGACACUAGUGGAACUGGAAGUUACAAACCGGCUCAACUCAGAUGGGGCCGAUUUCAUAGUCCCGCCCUCGGAAUUAGACACUAACAGGAAGUCCCGGCCCCCAAAAAGGGAAGCUCCAGAAGACAGGACUGCGCGCUGAUUGGCCACUUCUUGGUAACCUCAAGGUCCAGGAGCCUGGCCCUGUCAACCCAGAGACUCUGGAUCUUCAAGGAGGUUCUUCUCCCCACAGUAUGUCCCCC